rnacentral:sRNA from 1 species
AUUUGACUCGAAAACACUAACCAAGUUUCUUCUUUCUUCUCAAACAAAGCUUUAAUGGUGUAGCCAAAGUCCGUAUGAGUCUUUGGCCUUGUGUCGUCUAACAAGGAUACAAUUCUUACGCCUUUAAGAUCUGGUUGCGUUUCACUUCUUAUACUCACUCAUACACAUGACAUCAAGUCAUAUUUGACUCCAAAACACUAACCAAGCUUCUUCUUGCUUCUCAAAGCUUUGAUGGUGUAGUCGUAGUCUAUACGAGUCUUUGUCUUUGUAUCUUCUAACAAGGAUACAAUACAUAGGCUUUUAAGAUCCGAUUGCGGUUCCAUUUGUUAU